UACGUAGGGAGCAAGCGUUGUCCGGAAUCAUUGGGCGUAAAGCGCGCGUAGGCGGCCCGGUCAGUCCGUCGUGAAAGUCAAAGGCUCAACCUUUGAAUGUCGAUGGAUACUGCCGGGCUAGAGUCCGGAAGAGGCGAGUGGAAUUCCUGGUGUAGCGGUGGAAUGCGCAGAUAUCAGGAGGAACACCAAUUGCGAAGGCAGCUCGCUGGGACGUUACUGACGCUGAGACGCGAAAGCGUGGGGAGCGAACAGG
rnacentral:rRNA from 1 species